GCAAGCAUGUUCCUUAUUACUUGGUAGACCAUGGCAAUUUGAUAACAAUUCUAUACAGCAAGGUAGAAACAAUCAGUAUACUCGUGUCCAUAAGGUUAAAAAUAUUACUUUGCUUCCUAUGACUCCUGAUUCCAUUUUGAAAGAUUAUAUUAAUAGAGAUAAUAAAGCAAAAUAGGAGAAAAAUUAGAGCGAAAAUCAGAUUGUGGCAAAAGAAUUUCAGCAACAAAUGAAUCCUAAUAAUAAAUCAUCUAGUGUUGCUUCUGAAAUUAAACUGAAAAGUGCAUGUUUACUUGCCACCAAAUCUGAUAUUGAUGAUCUAGAUUUCAGCAAAUCUGUUUGCUAUGCUUUUGUGUGCAAAGAGGCGUUAUUUUCUUUCGAGGAUGUACCUUCCUUUUUGCCUCCUGCAGUCACUAACAUUUUGCAGGAGUUCACUGACGUCUUUCCACAAGAUGUGCCACCGGUAUUACCACAUAUUCAAGGGAUUAAGCAUCAGAUUGACUUAAUUCCCAGUGCUACGCUGCCUAACCGUCCGCCAUACCGUACCAAUCCAGAGGAGACGAAAGAUAUUAUGCGUCAAGUACAGGAGCUGCUCGACAAAGGGAAUUGAAGUUGAUAAAGCCAAGAUUGACACUAUUGGGAGUUGGCCACAGCCCAAAACAGUCACACAAGUGAGCAGUUUUCUUGGCCUCACUGGAUUCUAUAGGCGUUUUGUGAGAGAUUUCAACACCAUUGCUGCACCUCUCAAUGCGCUUACAAAGAAGGAUGUGCCUUUUGUUUUAUGGUACCGCACAGGAAAAAGCCUUCACAGUAUUGAAAGAUAAUAUGACACAUGCUCAUUUACUUCAACUUUCUGAUUUUAAUAAGACUUUUGAGGUUGAAUAUGAUGCUAGUGAAAUUGGAUUAGGAGGUGUGUUAUUACAA